rnacentral:rRNA from 1 species
AGUGAACGCUGGCGGUAGGCCUAACACAUGCAAGUCGAACGGCAGCACAGUAAGAUCUUGCUCUUACGGGUGGCGAGUGGCGGACGGGUGAGGAAUACAUCGGAAUCUACUUUUUCGUGGGGGAUAACGUAGGGAAACUUACGCUAAUACCGCAUACGACCUACGGGUGAAAGCAGUGGAUCUUCGGACCUUGCGCGAUUGAAUGAGCCGAUGUCGGAUUAGCUAGUUGGCGGGGUAAAGGCCCACCAAGGCGACGAUCCGUAGCUGGUCUGAGAGGAUGAUCAGCCACACUGGAACUGAGACACGGUCCAGACUCCUACGGGAGGCAGCAGUGGGGAAUAUUGGACAAUGGGCGCAAGCCUGACCCAGCCAUACCGCGUGGGUGAAGAAGGCCUUCGGGUUGUAAAGCCCUUUUGUUGGGAAAGAAAAGCAGCAGGUUAAUACCCCGCUGUUCUGACGGUACCCAAAGAAUAAGCACCGGCUAACUUCGUG